rnacentral:lncRNA from 1 species
CGCGGAAAAGGGCGCGGGGAGGUGCACGCGCUGCUGUGCUCUGAGGGGCCGGGGACCGCAGCGCUCCUCACGGGGCUCUGGGGCUGCCGGUGGCGGCGCGCUCGUCCUUCCUGGCCUCGGGAGAGAUCGCUUCCAGGAAUUGAGGGGCUGCGGAGGCAGGAAAUCCUGCGGGGCCCCGUGCAGGGAGCGGCCGCAACGGCAUCACCUCCGCGCGCGGGAGGGUGGGGUCCCAGCCGCCUCCUUCCCGCUCCGUGUGAGCAUCCGCACGAUGAAAUGUGGAACUUGACUGUGAGAUGAAGGGGUGUGUGUGUGCCUCCCUGAACUGUGAAUACUCCUGUUUAACAUUGCUGACGAAUCUGACGAGUAAAUCCCACCUCACUGCUCGCUUCAGUUUCCCCAAACAGAACUUUGAUCCUGAAUCGUAGCUAAAAAACAACGUUAAACCCGUUUUCUGCCCCGGGUGCUUCCCAUUUACGCUGUCCUCCGGGUGUCUGACCUCUCUAUCAACGAUACACUAACAGAAGUCUUUAGAGAGAACAAUAGCGGGAUGCCACUGAGUCCAACAUAAGGAAGCUUCUCAGCUGUAUCAGAAAGGAAACUUUGCUAGUCUGAGGACAGUCUUAUUUACUUACUUUUUCAUGCCAGUAAAGGUCAGCAGCAUGGAGACAUUAAUGAACAAAACAGAGUAAAUUAUGUCCCCCAGAAGCUGUGGGUCCUCUCCUCCAACCUGUCCACAAGAGUUCAGUAAUGUGAAUAGUUCUUAUGCAGCUGUAAUGUGAGAUGAUGCUUGUAUAUGGUGUUAAACCACAUCCAUAAAAUCUCCACUGAUAAUAGUCUUUCCAGAAGCAGCCUUCAGAGCAUUCAAUUGGUGAAGUCAUUAUGGUUUGGAACCGGGAAACUGAGGCAGCACUUUGCAGUCCUUUCAUAUAAAAUUGCAAGCAAAAUCACAGAGGCAUCAUUAAAAAUUACAAAACAUAAUUGCUGUUUAUUCUUUGUGUUGCCUGAGAGCUACAGUGACAAACAGAGCUCUGCUUGUGUCUGUGCAAACACUGUGUGAUCUUACAAACAUGUUUUGAAUGCAUUAUGUACAAUGAUUUGGUUCAAGGACAAUUUAAAACUUUCACCAGCUUCUUCAGCAGGCUUGACUAAAGGUUCCCUGACCUCCCUGGGAUAGCUAAGAUUGCAAAGAUGUUCAGAAAUUAUAUGUAAAAUGACAAAAACUGUCUCAUGUGCAGUUUCCAAAGGGUACUAUAUAAUGUCUCGCUUGGACAGAAUAGAGUGCCGCUGCUGGGCCUGUCUGACCCCCAGUUUCUGCUGGCAACAAGCCCAGAUAAACGUCCCGGGGGAGAGCCACCAUCCGGGGUUUCCAGGCAGUCUCCAGCCAGGGGUAACCCUUAGGAGCACAGGCAGAGGCCUUUGGUGACCAGCUCUUUUAGAAGGUGAUUUCUGCUCUGUGAUCAGCUCAGUUCAGCCCAGCCAGGUCCCUUCAGGAGUUACCCCAGGUGACGCUGACAAGAGAUAGGAAGACCAUGUGGCAUUCCACAGAAAGUCUUUAAUGCAGGCUUCAGCGAAGGGGGCCAGUGAUGAUCUAACCACUGAUCUGGGCAAAAGCUGGGUUUUUUAUGGGGAAGGGGAGAAUUGGGAAGGGGACCAAUGGUCUGAGAUGGGGAUAAGAUGACCAAUAGUUAACAGGGAGAUAACAUGUGUCCUGAGGCAGAAAGGGGUCCACAGCUCAGUCACCAUGACUAGGCAGUUUUAUCUUAUCUUAGGGGACAGAUCUCCAGGGAGGAUGCCUGUCAUACUGGGCUUCCUCCACAAUAGAGUUUGGAUUCAAUACACUGCCAGUCUUUGAGAGGGCUCAGAUUGAUGCCCAAAAUGUCUCUUCAUGCAGAGGGACCUUCUGUAAAUAGUAAAAAAUAUUUACCUCCUACAGCAAUUGGUGGACUUUCCUAAUAAAAGAAAGGAAGAGUUAAAAUAUUAAUAUUUA